rnacentral:rRNA from 1 species
UACGUAGGUGACCAGCGUUGUCCGGAUUUACUGGGCGUAAAGAGCGCGCAGGCGGUCGUUCAAGUCGAGUGUGAAAGCCCCCGGCUCAACUGGGGAGGGUCAUUCGAUACUGAUCGACUGGAAGGCAGGAGAGGGAAGCGGAAUUCCCGGUGUAGUGGUGAAAUGCGUAGAUAUCAGGAGGAACACCGGUGGCGAAGGCGGGUCUCUGGGCAACAACUGACGCUGAGGAGCGAAAGCGUGGGGAGCGAACAGG